CAAUAUUCUACCGUGAGUUUAUUAAAAUCAAGUGAAAUUUUGGCGUAAGUGGAAUUUUCUUUAGCGGCUAAUGCUUUUGUUGCAACACUCAUUUCACCCCUAUACACUUUGGGAGCACGGAAGGAACGCGGUGAAACGGAACAGUGACAUUGACACACCGAUACAUCUAUCGAAAGCUUCCAUUUUGCCCAGGCAGCAACCGUUGUGUGUGUGCCACAGCCAAAAAUCUGAGAUCAGAGCAUUCACCGAUACCAGUUUAAAAAUGCAUCGAAGUGCAUAGUGCGAUCGAAGAGCCAUCAUUUUUUGUUUUGGUGGUAGUUACGAUUGUAAAGUGAAGACUAGUGCAACUCCGGUGCAUCGGAUACGACAAAAAAAGCUGUAAUUACGUUUUUGGUUUGUUGCUGGUGCUAUAAUUUCGGUGUUGCUGCUGCUGUUAAGCUAGACGCUUUUGUUCCGGUGUUGCUGCUGCUGUUGAGUUCGGUGCUUCCUUUCGGGUGCUGCUGUUGUUGCUAUUUGGUGCAUUUGUUGCUGUUGUUGCUGCGGAGAGAAAUAGGAUCGAUCUAGAAUUGAAGAGACUGGAAGGAUAAGUCGAGUUUGUACUCCACCAGACUGCCUCGGUUAAGUAGUUCUCAAGCAGAUUUCCCUGGGUGGCAGAAUCGUUUUGGCGCAUAAGCGUCAGUUGAAAUUAGCGCAAUCGCAGCAUUAUCGCCGAAAUAAGCGCUAUUUCGUCCGUGAGGAUGCCUCUUCAACAAAAAGUGGUAAAGGCAGUACUAGCAAAAGAAGAAGAGAUGAUGGUUCGGAUCGAGGUUCCGAUGAGGAGGAUGAAUUUUACGGAUUUCCUGCUGAAUCAUUUAUCUAUGCUGAACAUUUACAAAAUCUCCCAGAAGAAUUGCAUGAAGUUCCAUCAAACAUAGAAGUGAGAAAACGUUCGAAGAGAAUUGCAAAGAAACGUAGAAAAGAAGGAUUUGUUUAUUACAAUUAGAAUAUAUUUAAAUAAUGAACUAGAUAUAAGAAGAAAACCUUUAGUGUGAUUUCAAAAUAUAAUUUUGAGUUCUGAACUUAAAUUCAAUUUAAUACAAAAAUACAUAUAAAUUCAUUCGAAUAUUCAACUACUUCAGGGUGAAGGAUUGUAGCGACCACUCGAAUGUUGAAAGUAUAAAUAUGAGAGAAAGAGCAUAGUGAGAAGUACAGA